rnacentral:rRNA from 1 species
AAGCGUUUGCAAUCAGACUUGCACGUUGCCGAUCAUCUGGUGUUCUCGCCAGUGCACUCGGUUUCGUUCAGGCCAGCAUCGGUUUGGGUGGUUGGAUAAAGGCCUUGGGAAUGUGGCUCCUCUCGGGGAGUGUUAUAGCCCUCGGUGCAAUGCAGCCUACCUGGACCGAGGACCGCGCUUCGGCUAGGAUGCUGGCGUAAUGAUUGUAAA